CAUGUGCGGUACAUAAUAAUUGUUAGAAUACAAAUAUGACUCAAUCGAGAACUCUCUGAGAUAAAGGCUUGCUUUAAGAUGAAAAGGAAUUUAUGUACUACUCAUUUAUUUUUUUAUGAUAUAAGAAAGCAAAGACUAGCCAGGUGAACGGCCCCACCCAUAUUGGUAUUUGAUGUCUUGAAGAAAAGGCAAAUUAAAGUCGAGAUGAAUAUCAUGAUUCACGGAUGUUCGGCGGUUUACGUGUUAUAAUUCACUUUGAUCGUUCAAUGAUAGCGCUUUCUUUUUCAUAUACUAUGAAUAUAGACCGCACUGAGAUUCGUACUUUAUAGAUUUUAAAUUUUCGAAUAACGAUAUAACUUUCUAAUUAUGGGUUGUAAAUUUAAUAUGUAUAUAAUUAAAUAGUAUUUAAUUCAAAUAUAUUAUUUCAGAUAAAAAUUAUUGGGUUUAGUCGGACAUGUAAUCGGUAGGGGCGGAUCCACACAUAGCCUUCCGAGUGCUCGAGCACCCAUUAAUCCCGCCAUACAUUAUAUAUAUCUGUAUAAAAACGGAUGGAAAAUGGUAUAUAUUAUUGGUAUAUAUUAAAGCAAUACAGAAAAAGAGAAAAAUCAUUGUGCAAUCAUUUUCUUUUAUUUUUUCUUGAGAAAAGUUGGCAAUUUGGGCAAGAAAUUCUUCGAGCUAUUUUUUUUCAAAAAAGUGAAAAGUCUUUUUUUUUUUUUUUUUUUUUUUUUUUUUGUAAUGGUAAUACUUAUCCUAACUUUCUCAUUAACUUUUUAAGUUAUCACGUUUAAAUAGUUGUACACUUAUACUAUAUGAUUUGCAUUAAUGUUAUAUUGAAAGAAGUGAGUACCCAUAAGUCGAAAAUUCUGAAUCCGUCAUUGGUAAUCGGACUUCUACCUCCGCACCUGCAUGAAUACAUGAUGAAGUCGUCGACCAAAGCCGAAAACCAUGACUUCUUGAUUGCUUUGUCAAACUUUUGUUCAACCUUUCAUAUUUGUUCCCUCUCUCUUUAUAAAGCUAAUUAUUACUCCGAUCUAUAAGAUACAACAACGCACAAAGUAGUUCACUUUGCUUUCGCUCUAAUCUAUGUUAGCGUUUUUUAAACUAAAAUUUAGACAUCUUCAACAUGCUUUUCCACAAAGCUUCUGAUCAUGAUGAGAACUCCAUGCACGUUUUCAUGCAAAAAGGGGGAAGCUCAGAUCAUAGGCACUCAAGCUUUGGAAAUAUAAUGUCAAAAGCAGUGGAUUGUGGAAUUAGGGUUAGUGGAUUAACAUGCAAGGAGGAAUCAACAGAAGAAGAAGAGUUUCCAAUAACUUGAGAGAGCACAGAAACCAUAGCAGACAUGUCUUGCUCAGAUCGAGCUGCUGAGUAUAUUGGCAAAAUACUACUCCUAUCAUUAUCCUCUUUCUCUUCCCUUUCAUUGGAGUCUCUUUCCAUGUCUUCGAUCUAACAAAACUUUCAACAAACUUUGUGAUAGUACAAAUUAGUAAAUGAGUAUAUAUACGUAGCUCCAGAAAGAAUUGUAAAGAAGCGGAUAGAUGAGGUGAGAGUAAGGAGUAGCUUUAGGAAGGAGGAAGAAGAUAUUAGGGUUUACUACUAUUGCUUUUUAUGUACGAAUGUGAAUACUGUCCUGCUUUAAAAUACCAAUGUGGAAUGGAUACUCUAUACGGUCCUACUUUAUCUUU